GCAAGUCGAGCGCGAAAACACUUCGGUUUGAGUAGAGCGGCGGACGGGUGAGUAACGCGUAGGAAUCUACCUGGUAGUGGGGGACAACACAGUGAAAACCAGGCUAAUACCGCAUACGACCUAAGGGUGAAAGCAGGGGACCUUCGGGCCUCACGCUAUCGGAUGAGCCUGCGUAGGAUUAGCUUGUUGGUGAGGUAAAGGCUCACCAAGGCGACGAUCCUUAGCUGGUCUGAGAGGAUGAUC
rnacentral:rRNA from 1 species